rnacentral:sRNA from 1 species
UUUUAAUAGUAUGGAACCACCCCUUUAGUUUGGGCUGCACGAAAGGGUCAUUUGGAAUGUGUGAAACAUUUAUUGGCCAUGGGAGCUGAUGUGGAUCAAGAAGGAGCUAAUUCAAUGACUGCACUUAUUGUGGCAGUGAAAGGAGGUUACACACAGUCAGUAAAAGAAAUUUUGAAGAGGAAUCCAAAUGUAAACUUAACAGAUAAAGACGGAAAUACAGCUUUGAUGAUUGCAUCAAAGGAGGGACAUACGGAGAUUGUGCAGGAUCUGCUCGAUGCUGGAACAUAUGUGAACAUACCUGACAGGAGUGGGGAUACUGUGUUGAUUGGCGCUGUCAGAGGUGGUCAUGUUGAAAUUGUUCGAGCGCUUCUCCAAAAAUAUGCUGAUAUAGACAUUAGAGGACAGGUAUGUGUGAUUACAGUGCAGUUGCUAUCUUAGAGUAUAAUUGGAUGUAAAUGUUGACUGAUCAUAAUGUUAUUCUUCCCACUUUCCUAUGGAGAUAAACUUGUAAACCCUAGUACAUUUAACAGAUGUAUAUUAUUACUAAGUUUCACUGCCUUUAUUGUAAAAUUUCUGUAUUAAUGUCGAGUUAAAUGUA